rnacentral:lncRNA from 1 species
UUUCCCAAGCUUCAGGGUCUCUUCCAAUUGCCCACGCAUUCACAUAAACUAAGGUUUUGGCAGGUAUUUCAUAUCCGCUUAUGUUGCUCUUUCGCAUUGUUUCUCGUGGCACCAACAAUGGAACUAUUGCUUGCAAUCUGAAUGUUUCUUUUAUCACAGCUUUAAGAUAAGUUAAGGCUUGAGUAUCAUCUUCAUUUACAAAAUCUUUUUUCCCCAUCAAACUUCUCACUUCCUCUUGAGCUUUCUUCAAACACCUAGGAUUUUUCAUUAGGAAGGUCAUGACCCAAAUCACACUGGCAGCGCUAGUGUCCGUUCCAGCAACAAACACAUUCUACAUAAGAGAAAGAAAAAAAGACAUGAGGUAAUAUAUAUAUAUUCCAAGAAUGUUGAAGCUAUAAAAUUAAUUAAUGAUAAUACUUAAUACUAUAAUAAAGUAAAUUUUUGAGUGAGGAUUGACCAUUAGCACAGCUUUUAUGUGAUCUAUAGUAAGAUCAAUCGCAAAUUCACGAUCCUUCCAAAUUUGUAGUAAGACAUCGAUUAUGUCUUCUUGCUCCAAUUUUGACCUAUUUGGAUCAAGAUGUUCGUCGAUGAGUUUUUGAUAGAAGGUAUCAAAUUCUUUAAAAUUUUUUUCAACACGCUUGAGCAAUCCGGAGAUUCUAUCAACCCAAUUCAUGAAAGGAAAAUAAUCAGAAAUAAAGAAUUCCACGAACAGGGCUUGGGCUUCAUUAAGCAUCUCAUGGAAUCUGCUUCUUUCAGUUCCUUCGUCUUCAUACCUCUUGCCGAAUCCUACUCUGCAAAUUAUUGUACUGGUAAGACACAUCAUUGCCUCACUCAAAUUGACAGGCUUAGAAUCAACAGAUAAUUUGGAUAUUUUUGCAAUUAGGCGAGAAACUUCAUCUUCUCGAAUGGGACGAUAGAGUUGCACCCUGUUGGAGUUAAAGAGAUGAACAACACAUAUUUUUCUGAUCUCCCUCCAAUAAGCAGUAUACGGUGAAAAAGCCAAAUCUAAACCUUUGUAAGAUAAUUUAUAUGACCCAUGUAAAGUAGGCCUACUGCAAAAGUCAAGGUCAUGUGUUUUCAUAACCUCUUUAGCCAUUUUCGCUGAAGAAACUACCAGCGUUAACCAAAAUCCGAGUCGCAAGGACAUGAGAGAGCCAUACUUUUGAGAGAGUUUCCAAAGAAAAAUAUGAGGGGCUGAGUUAUCUAGCAUCUGCAUGUGUAAGUGACCGAUCAAGGGAAGGCCUGGAGGGCCAGGGGGAAGAAGAAUACUGCCGUUUCUUCUAUGUUUUAGCAGAAUGCAUAGGAAGAGACUGGGGAGGGCUAGAACAAAGAACAACAAAACUACCAUUUUGAUAUAAUCGAUUGAUGAAGCGACUUGUGACAAUUGAGAGCAAGAGUCCCCUUAUAUACACUAAUUAGCAGACACUUCUAACUAAAAAAUUUAAUGCAAGCUGACACUUGCAUUGUUGAAUAUUGCUCCUCUUUUUUGUACCAAGAUAAAUAUAGGAAGGAAUAAAUAUUUGAAAUUGCUUCUUUAUGUCAGGAACAAUAGGCAUUUGAAGGGGAAAUUAAUAAGGAAACGUAAUGUAAUGAAGGUCCGUCAUUCUACAUUAUAGUCAGCUUGGUAACACUACUGUUUUUUUCCCUGAUCGUGAUAUAUAGUAAAAAAAAAUUUAUGAAUUAUUGUUGUUACUGCUCCAUUUGUUCUAUUUUUUAUUGAAAUGUCACGGUGAGCUGCUGUCGUUUCCAGAAAAGGCCAAACGCAAGUUAAUUUUCUCGAUUUUGUUUAGGAUUUUGAGUUCUUAGGAAGAUUUGUUUUUGAAAAGUGAUUUAUUAACCUCUUCAAUCAAAGUGCCGGCCGUUCCAAGUCUCUUUCAAUUAAAAAACGAUUUUCAAUAACAUCAAUACUUGAUUUGGAUAGUAAGUAAUAUUGUACAAUUACCAAAAGAUUUACCGCACCAUCCUACAUGCGGACGGGGUCUUAAACCCUUCAAACCUAUCAAAAGAUUUCUCUUCAGGAAUAUGCUGUUGCUUUGUUCACGGAUUAUUUGCUGUUUGUUUUGUUUUGGAAUGAACGUUGAGAUUGGUGGUUCCAGGUUGUAUGGUCAACAAAGAAAAUGUACAAAUUUCCUCACGCUUGCCAAUAAUUGGCUUAUGCUUGAUUCUCGCGUCUCUGGUAAAUAUAAUGUUAUACAGAAAUUCAUAAAGCUGGAACCAAGUGUCAAAGAAGCAGAAUGUUUAGCUUCUCCUUAACGUCACCCUCUCCAUCAGAAUCCUUCAGUCCUUCACGGCAUCAUUUGAUCUUUAGACUGGUUAGUGGUCCAUUGCAGUAGGAACCAUACGUCUUCAUUGUUGAAUUUUCGCGAUAUGGGUUCAAUAAUGAAAGGUGAAAUCUCGCAGGCCAAUCCAAGAUUUUGAUUCCUCUAUGCCUAUCCAUCUGCAUUAUUGAGAAACGAUAAAGGCCUAAAUCCAAUAAUUACCGGUUCACAUGUAGUAUGAGUUAAUUAGAUGGAGAAUUUUGAUUCGAACAUAAAUUAAAUAUUUUGAAGUAAUUUGUCUUUGAUUAAGACUAUAAUAUAUAGAGUACUCUAUUGGGCCCAAAAUGAAUCAUUAGUUACUUUCAAUAAAAAAUUAAACAGAAUCGACCUAAUUACACAAAUAUUAAAGAAGUACAAAGAAAAUGUCGCAUCUAGUAUCGUAAUUAGUGAAUUCUAUGAUUCACGUGGUUCAAGCUCUUGCUGUACGACGUACUAGUUGGAAACUAGAAAAGAAGAAGACAAGUGUUGAUGCUUUCCUGCCUAUGGAUUUGCUGCAGUGAUGUUUAAUUAUAUAUUAACAUCUAUUGUACAUGAAUCCAGCUAAUUGAAAAUGAUGUUUGUCUAUUGCUAUUCACAUGAUGUUAUAUCUAAGAUGAAUCACGACGACAAGUUUUUUCUUUCUUUAGCUUUAUUGCUAGAUGUCAUCUUUUCUGUGUUGAUUUUCAUGGUUUUUCUUUAGCAUACCAGGUAUCACAUCAAAGUCUUCUUUAUUCAUCCCGGCCGGCAUUUCCCAAUCAAAUUUGUAAAGAAGAUUGGCAAGGGCAAGCUCCAAAGUUGAUACUCCCAUAUGCAAGUGACCGAUCAAGGGAAGACCUGGCGGGCCUGGGGGAAGAAGAAUAUUGCCAUUAUUUCUUUGUUUUAAGAGAAUGAAUAGGAAGAGGGUGGGGAGGGCUAGAACGAAGAACAGCAACACUACCAUUGUGAUCUAGUGAAACAACUUGUGAAAAUUGAGGGCAAGAGUCCCCUAAUAAAGAACUAAUUAGCCAACUCUUUUGACCAAAAUUUUUUUAAUAAAAAUUAAUGAUCAGAUUCAUAUGGCUGAUAUUAAUGAUCAGAUUCAUAUGGUUGAUAUUAAUGAUCAGAUCCAUAUGGUUGAUAUUAUCUCGCCAAUCAGGGGGAGGGUUGUUCAUUAAUGGGCUCGAGCCCCACAAAUUAAGUCCAAUGCUGUCACAAAACGCUUCACCGAGAAGGAUUCCUUACGUCUCCUCGCCAUGGAAAUUGGAAGCUUUGCUAGGUAGCUAGCAGCCUAUCAGUGAUGCAUUUCUUAUUUACAUUGAAAAAAAAAACGGUUCAAAAAAUAAUUUUAUCUAAAAUUUUUUCUUCAUAUGAGAAAAAAAAAAGAGAUUUGUCAAAAAAACUUGGUUUUCUCUUGACCAUUUUGUUCUUGAAAGUAUUUAGUUUCUCAUUGGUACAAAUUUCUCUUAAUUUGUGAAUUUAAGCUGAUGUGAGUGUCAUAUAUCUUUGCUCUUUCUACUCUGAUUCAAGUGCAUCAUAGGUUUCAUACACCUUACGAUAAUAAGAAAUGUUAACGUUUAAACGGACAACAUUUGUUAUUGUAUUCGAGUAAACAUAGAAAAUUAUUUACUUUUGAUAUUUAAUUUAUGAUAUAAUGGUCAAAUAAGUCUCUAAAUUAUUUAAAAAAAUUUAAAUAAGUUUUUAUUUUUUAUUGUGUUCAAUACUUUUAUUUCAAGUCAAAUAAAUCCAUAUAACUAAUGAAUGAUUAAUUAUCAUUAGUCAAAAUGUCGUCUGUCAUUUUAUAUCCACAUGACGUUGAUGUGGAGGAUGAAAAAUACCACAUGAUCAUGUUAUCAUGGUAAAUUAACACGUCACGUCAUUAUCAAUUAUGAUAUAUCAUCAUAUCAUAUUAUUAUCAAUUAUGAUAUAUUAGCAUGCUAUAUUAGUGUCAAGUGAUAUAAAAUGAUAAAUAGUAUUUUAAUUAAGUUAAUUAUUAGUCAUAAAGUCUUAUUUAAUUUAAAAUAAAAAUACAAUGACUUAUUUAAAAUUUUCAAAAUAAUUUAAAUAUUUUUUUUGAAUAUUAUUCCUUAAUUUAUUUUAAUUUAAGCGUUUUGUUACUUUGAUUUUUGGCAACUUUAUUUAUCAGUAAAUACUAUUUCAACAAAAAAGUUAUAGAGACAAAUUUAAUUGAUUUAAAUGAGUUUCAAGUCAAUAAGUGAUGUCUCCUUGUAUUAAUUUAAGAAUUCGGAAACUUAAAAAACAUUGAAUUGAUCACUCAACUAGAAUAUCAUGGAUUACUCAAAAGAAAGUUAAAUUACAUUACAUUAAUUAAUGAUCAUUAGGUUAUCGUUUUUGAAACAAAAACAACUUAAAAAUUAACAUUAACAAACAUGGAUUUAUUAUAAAACAUACACAACAUAAAAUGUUGUUGACACUCCAAACUAGAGCAAGCUAGCAGCAAUUAAGUUACUAGGAUAACCUUACAUGCAUUAAACAUUAAUUUCUUUGGCCACAAGGCAAAGAGCAUUUUUUGUGUGUGUAGUGAUACCGGGUAUCACAUCAAAGUCUAAGUCUUCCUUGUUCAUCCCUGUUGGCAUUUCCCAAUCAAAUUUGUAAAGAAGAUUAGCAAGGGCAAGCUCCACAGUCACAACUCCCAUAUGUAUUCCGGGACAACCCCUUCUACCGGCACCAAAAGGUAUGAGCUCGAAGUCUAGUCCUUUAUAGUCAAUAGAGCUGCCAAUGAAUCUCUCCGGAUAGAAUUCUUCUGGGUUUUCCCAAGCUUCAGGGUCUCUUCCAAUUGCCCACGCAUUCACAUAAACUAAGGUUUUGGCAGGUAUUUCAUAUCCGCUUAUGUUGCUCUUUCGCAUUGUUUCUCGUGGCACCAACAAUGGAACUAUUGCUUGCAAUCUGAAUGUUUCUUUUAUCACAGCUUUAAGAUAAGUUAAGGCUUGAGUAUCAUCUUCAUUUACAAAAUCUUUUUUCC